CUGAAACAACUUUAUAGGGAUCCCCUUCUAUAGUGCGAUUGCCGGUUUCUCGCCCGAGAUUCUCGGAAAAUGUUCAACCCCGAUAGGACUGUUAUGUAAUCCUUUUGAGCGGGAACGGUUUUCAAGGGGUUGGUUGGAGAAAUUUUAUUUACCGUUCUGACCGGUUUACCGGUUGGGGGAGGAUCACAGAAGCUGAGUUUGGGU